CAGUCAGCGCGGGAGAGGCGGGAACCAUGUGGGCAGGGAGGCAGUCAGAGGGCAGGCUGGACGAAGAGGCAGGAGGCCCACCCUGGAGCCAUUCCUGCCUCCCUUUCAUGGGGUCGCUGCAGCCUGGGGAGUGGGAGGGAGGAGCUGCAUGUGGAUAUUUCACUUCCUGCAACACCAGCCUGGCUGCCAGCUGGGCCCUGCUUCCUGACUGCCCACACCACACCAAAUCCACUCUGGAGGGGUGCUUUCUCCCGUGGCCCUGCGUGGCUUGCUGUGCCUCCUACUGCUCGAGACUGGAUGUGGGCCACCAGUAUAGCAUGGCCGCUAAUAGAGCAGUGUAGGUCCGUGUCCAGGAACUGAAGCCGGGCCAGCGAAGCGGAGCACGCUGAACUUAACCGCUGGGCCGCAGGGGCUGGCCCUGAGGCACGUUGAAGAGCACCCAGUUGCAUCAGCAUUUCCAUUUGGACUUCAAUUCGAGUUCCAUUUUUUUCCUGUAUUGAAUCACAUCUCCCUGGAAGUUAAUCAGCUUCUGUUCAAAGUCAGCAUGGAGUCCCUGGCCAACUGGUUCCUGCCUUCACGAUUAGUCCUGUGCUCCGCAUUGGUCACACUAGGCCUCUCACUGCAUUAAAACUUCUUCCAUCUAUGCCAAGGGAUGCGACAAUUUCCUCUUCAUUCAUUUGUCUCGUUCGGGGUUUGAUAGGCAAUCCUUUUGCACGAACUUCAGUAUGUUGGUAAAACUUCAUUUACUAGUGAGGGUCUUGCUUUCCUAGUUCUGAAAAGCACUUGGUUGCUGCUUUGCAAACAAUAUGGCCUCAUGUUCAUUCCUCCAGUGGCAAACGUUUGCUUCACUCAUACCAAAAUUAACCCCCACUCUGCUUCUUUGCCUUUCUAAGUACAAAAUAACCUUUCAUUACAAUACUGAACCAUAGUAUAAUCUUUUCGAAGACAUCGUAAACAGCAUGUACAUUUAACGUGGUAUCAACAGUGCAUAUUGCUCAACAGAAAUGAUGACAAUGUGAAGAGCGUGUUCAAUUUGCACAUGCACAAGCGAUGACAGCAGUGAUGUCACAACUGCUGCGUGGCUGACACUGACGCCAAUUUUAGAUACACUACAA
rnacentral:lncRNA from 1 species